GGAGCUGUCGCCAAGUUUGGUAAGGCAGGAGUCUGCAAAACUCUCAUUCGUCGGUUCAAAUCCGUCCAGCUCCU
rfam:Lasius niger Lnig_2.1_16138, whole genome shotgun sequence.